UGUUGACAAAUGUGGGCGGGACUGUUGGGGAUCGAUAGUGUGUGUGUGUGUGUGUGUGUGUGUGUGUGUGUGUGUGUGUAAGAGCGCAGUGACGUCUGUCUCUCUUCAACCCGCACACUCUCUACUCUCUGGAAUGGAAAAAUGCAGCGUUCGCCACCAACUGUCCACAUCAAGGGCCCACCUAAUAUGGGAAGAAGGCAGGUAAAUAGUAGUGCCCCUUUCCCAAAUAUUAAAAGUAGAAAUGACCAGAAAGGACGACGACGUCGUAAGAUGA
ensembl:ncRNA T24D8.11 ncRNA